GAAAAGUAUAAAGCUUUUAUUUUUAACAACCAGACUCUGCCACUUCUGACCGGUGCUCAACUUUCAGGAUCUUUGGUUUGAAGCAAGUAUUUAGAAAAACCAUUGCCUGGAAAAUGUUUUUACAAAAUACGGAAGUUUGCAAAUAUCUCCAAUAAUUUUUUUCACUUCAUCUGCUUGAUUGGGAAAGAGGCCAGGCCAUUUCCAAUUUCCAGGCACUCCAGGCCCAAGGUCUGUUCGCGAGUCAGUGAUGUGGACGAAGGACACACCGACUCCUGGAAAGACAGCUGCACGUGCGCGGCUCCGCUUGGACCAUAAAACCUUCAUUCAUAGUAAGUCUCCACGGACGCAACUUUGACCCUGAACCACUCCCGCUCACUUGCCCCCAUAGCACAAAGGUCUAAUGUCCCAAAGCGGGCCCCUAGGAGCUCCUCUGCUGGUUUCGGCUACAGUUGUGGAAGCAGCAUUCUCGUCCCAGAACCGUGAUCCAUCCAGUGUUGGUGCAGGUGUGUCCCAGGUGGUAGCUGAGGCACAGGUACCCAUCCCUGUCCCAGAAACCUCCACACAACAGAGGUGCAGCCAAAAAUAAGAGGGCAGGGAAGGGAGCAAGGGAGAAGCUGAGGAGUCAUUUCUCAGACUAUGGCGGUGCAGACUAUGGCUUUACUUCUUUAAGGAAGAAGUAAAAUCUUUCAAGUGCCAAGAGAGCAUCCAGGAAAUGCAGCAUUGCCUGUUUCCUACAGAAGACGUAUGCAACAGAUCAGCAGCAUCUCUGCAGCACCGGGACACAGGUUCAAUCCCCGGCCCAGCACAGUGGGUUAAGUUCCUUGGAUCUGAUCCCUGGCCCGGCAACUCCAUAUGCUGCCAGGCAGCCAAAAAAGAAAAAAAAAAAAAAAAGUUAACUAAAUCUGGGUUUAAUCUGGUUGCUCAUUCUUACUCUCUGCCUCUCUCUCUCUCUGUCGGUCUCUGCCUCUCUCAUACACAAACACACAUAUCAGCAUAUCAGAAUCAUUACCUGGAUGCUCUGUUGGGACCACAAGCUCAAAAUAAUAAAGACCAAAUGGACCAUCUACUUCACAACCAGCUUCUGCCUUUCACAGUUUUGUACACGGCACUUUCCCUUAAUUACCUGAUGUUCAAGAAAAUUGUAACUACUUUUGAUUUUUCCUUAUUAUCUUCACAUUCCAAAGAGGAGACAGGAGGUACCCAUUAUUUACCUGCGCAUUAAGGCAGGAUUUCUUACAUUAACCCCUUUACUUCCCGUUCCUAUUUACCUUCCUUAUCUUGCUUUGCACCUGCACCUCCCCAUGUCUUUGCUCCUAAGCUCCCCACCUCACAGGUCUGCGGGAGAUUCACAUAUGUCUAAUAUCAGCAUUUCAGACCAGGGGAAAUGACAGACAUCGAUAAGUUAGUGCAAAUGCAAACCAUGAACACACAUAGGUCAUGCACCUUACUUAUAUCAAAGUGAAUUCAACAUUAAUCUGAUCUUAAUGUAACAGAUGGAACCUUAAAAAUACUUGAAUAAAAUAUAGGUAAAUAGGAAAAGAUUUCCUAAGAAAAUAAAGUCAGAAAUUGUGAAAUAAAAGUAUGAGAGUUUUGGUGAAAUAAAAAUUGUUAACUUCUAUUAUACCCAAUAAGCAGAGACAACCAUCAAGUGAGAAAAUAUUCACAAUGUAUGUAUGACAGAAUAUAGACAGACAAAUCAGCAAAAGGUCACAUACAAGGUGUGAAAGACAACUUGCCAAAUUAAAAAUAUAAAUAAGUUUACAAAAAGAUACUCAAUCUUAUUACUAACCAAGGAAAUACAAAUAAAACAAAGAGCAUUUCUCACCUCUUAGAUGGGGAAAGAUACGAAGAAUAUUAACCACCAGCUGAUAGCGUAAGAAAAGAGGCCUGAAGGCUGCUUUGGGGAGUUUAAAUUGGUAUAAAAUUUCCAGAGGGCAGUCUGAUGAUAGUCACCAAAAGCCUUAAAAUUAAAACUUCUUUCUGAUCCAACAAAUGUCUUUACAAGAACUUAUUUGAUGGAAAUGCUCCACUAAAUGCACAAAAACCUAUGCAUUUUGUAAUUAUCUAUGAUGAUUUUAUAGCAGUAGGAAAUCAAUAGCAGUAUAAAAAUAUAUCAGUGAAGGAUUGAUUAAAUAAAUUGGGGGAUAGGGAUGUAAUAAGGUAAUAUAACAUACAUAAUGCAUUGAUUAAAUAAUGAAAAUAUACUUUAUUAGCAUGAAAAUGCUCAUGAUAUAUGUAUAAAAGGUUUCAAACUAUCCACAUGACAUCUAUAUGUGAAAUAUAUAUAAUAUACAUACAUAUUGCUGAUAGUGAUUGGUAUUAGUUAUUUCUAGGUGCUUUAAUCCUGGGUGAUUUUUACUGUCCAAAUUACCUCCCUAAUGUCCACUGCCAAGCCUAGAGGCAGGGACCCAAGUUAAAAGGAUGCUCCUACAAUCUAGACAUACAGUCAGUGACAAAGGCUGGUGGGAAGAGAGGGAACAAGGAGAUGAUGGAGGAGUAAAAGAUGGUGGUGAUUUUAGCGUCCAUCUGACUGGAGAGCCACUGGCCAAAAGGGGAUGUGAUGGAGCAGAAAGACGCUGAAUCGUUAGACACCCAGCGCAGAGCCUUGGACAUAGCAGCGCUUCAGAGCUUUUUAAUGGAUCAGUGUGGUUCAGCGUGAGCCUCUUUACAGUCAGUUGUGUCAGCGCUCUAGCCAAAUCUUUCCGGGAGACUCCAAGAAGACACUAAUGGAGGUAGUUUGAUGCAAUAAAGGGAACAUCAAAUGGGGCCCCAGGAGACCUAUUUCACCCCCCAGCUACUGCCUGUCACCUCACUCCUGCCGCUGCCUAGCAGCCCUCCUGUUCUGCCCAGAACGGAAAUACCACUUUUUCAAAGAGGUCUUGCCUGACUUGCAGGUCUCGGCAAAGAACAAGGGAGUCAAGUCCUUCUGGUCUCACUUGUCUGGUGGCCAGAAUUCAGCGGGUGCCCAGGAACUCGAUGCCCUGCCCUUCUCGUCUGCAUUUGCCACGGACACACUUAGUUCUGCACCUCCGGCUGGACUUAACUGACAUGAAGUAGCACCAAGUCAUCUACUCAGACUCUCCUGGGAUGUAGCCCCCAAGAGCCCCGCCUCCAUCACGGGUCUUAACUUGCCCUGUACCCUGGUCCGCUUCAGGUGCUGCAGGAGAAAUCUGCGCAUGGAUUUACCUGCUUCUUCAUCACAACAGCAGAUGCUACUGUGACUGACCGUAAAACAGAGAAGUCAGGUGCAACUCCGAGAAAGGAAGUGACACCUCCUAGGUGGCCCAGUGUGCUCCUGGUGGAGGCCAGAUUCACGGUGGGGAGGAGGUUGUUACUUACACAGAUGCGGGGGCCACUGCAAGACCUGAGGCUUUCCUGAGAGUUCUGUAGCUUUUUUCACUAAUUUUUUUCACUUUCCUUUCAAGAAAAAGAGAGAGAGAGAGAAAUACAGUGCCCUGGCUGGCAUGUUACUGGAGGGGGGCUGGAUAGAGCACAGCAGCCCUCGUUCAUGCUGGGCGUCUACGUGAUGGGUUCUGACGGCUUCUCGGGAGAACGCGGUGGGCUGUGCCCAUUGCACCUGUGCCCACCGGGACUGAACUGCUCCUCCACUCUUCUCACCACGGGAAAGCCCAGAGCCGGAGGAGCGGGAGAGCCGAGGACAAGCGGGCCUGGAGGUCAGACCCUUCUCGGAGCGACCCCGGUACCGUGAAGCGUUUCGCCCUCAGUCUGCCAUCGGCACCCGAGGCCUCGCUUGCUUUUGUGCAAAGUGUUCUCAGGUUCAGAAAGACAAUCAGGAGAUGAAUAAAGCACACCUGUCGGCUCUCUGAAGGCUCUCGCAAGGACACACGCUCGAGGCUCCCUAUGGCAGAAGGCAGCUCUCCUCCUGCGGCCCAUGCUGGCAAAGUAGUCACAUCAGAGCAGCGGUCUCAGGCCUGCAAAUCCUUUUAUUCUCACCUUCUCUGUCCUCUUAAGCCACAGGCUCAAAUUACUGACAUGAUUCAAAAAGCACUAGAACGACCCAAUUUUUUGACACUUUAAAUCCCAUUUGAACCUCACAGUUUUAUAGUGAAAACCGGUUUCUGAGAUAUGAUAUAUGAGGACCCAAUAAUUGCUGAAAUUCUGGAAUCAGAAUAAAAGGAAACAGCCUCUAAAACCUCACAAACCUUUGCUUGGUUAGUAAAGGAGCCACAAAGAAUUCAGAAUUGCCUAAAAAAACAAAACAAAACCCGUAACUAAGAAACACUUUAAUGAAGAGCUUUAAAGCAACCAAAAUGUAAUUCCAAACUAUCAUACCUUUAAAAACUUUGCAGAAUUCAAACAUAAUAAAAAUAUUGAUUUAAAAAUACUGAUUGAAAAUCCAAGUUGAACUGACCUGUCAGACGUAUUACAUAUGCCUUUUGAUGAUUUCAAGUCUACCGUUUUGAACUUCCUUAAGCCAAAUGUAACACUUAUGAGUUAUGUUUUUAUGUGAUUUUUCAAAAACUACCUGCAGCAUUGCAGCCAGAAGACACUUCCUUGCAUGUCCUUGUAAUCCUGAAAAUCUUGUCAGCGGGUUUGUACUCUGGUAUAAAUGGGGGGAGUUUGUCGAGUCUGAGUUUUAAAUAACUUGAGAAAAUGGGUUCUUGCAACUUUCCCCUGGGAUUUAAUACUAUUAAUCCUGCUAUUGAGAAAAUUAUGAGGAUGUCAUUAGGAAAGUUACAGCACUUGUACCCCCUUGAAAAAAACAAGCAGCGUGUUCACAGCACAGCCUAGACUUUCCAGCCUUUGUAAAUUCUACGUAAAUCUCACGUUAUUUCUGCUUUCCAUAGAUCCUUUUAUGUGUGUACCUUAGUCAUAAAAGCCGUAAUAGCCCAAAAUUACAAACCUGGUAGAAAUAGUGCAAAAACCAAACAAUUAGGGCACAUGCAAAGGACACUCUCCCCGCCACAAGCUUCUUCCACCGCAUCCACCACCUGCGUGGAAAGUGUCAGGCAGGUGUCCGCGGCUCUCACCGGACCGUAAGCUCUUUGAGGACAGGAAACGCACCUCACCCAUCUUUGGAUGCUCAGGUUCUGUCACUUUGUCAGUGUCCAUGUCAUCGUCUCUUCAUAGGCUAUGAUUUUAGUUUCUUCACACUUUAAUUUCUUAGAACAAUUUAAAAGGAAAGGAGUUCUCCUUUUGGCUCAGCGGGUUCCAAACCCAACUAGGAUCCAUGAGGGUGAGGGUUCGACUCCUGGCCUCACUCAGUGGGUUAAGUUUCCAGUGUUGCUGUGGCUGUGGUGUAGGCCGGCUGCAGCAGCUCUGAUUUGACCCCUAGCCUAGGAACUUCCAUAUGCUGCAGGUGUGACCCUAAAAAGUAAGAAAAAAAAUUUAAAGGAGAAUAUGUAGGCAAAGGAAGCAAGAAGCCGGCAAAACAUCAGAGAGCAGUGUCAUCUGAAAACCAUCCAAGGUCCCACCCAAAUAGCUGGUCCUUCUGAUUUGGAGAAUGGAUGCACCCAAGACACCAGGACCUCCUGCCGUUUAAUGCUCCAUCAGAGCCAAGCCCCUACCCUCAUCCCAGGCUCCCUAGCUAAGCAGGGAAGGGAAGGGAGGGUUUCCAGGGCGCUUGAACCCGGAUUUCUAACUUUUCUUAUUGGAAUGGAGUAUAGUGGUAUCUGACUGUAUCCGCUACGUCUCUGGUGAGCUUCGUUAGGGUGACUCAGAAUUCCUGAAUCAGAUCGACUGUGGGACAAUGAGAAAGCUGCUCUGCAUGGAUGAUGCUGAGUUAACAUGACCCCUUUCAUGUGCUGUGGGCACAGCCAAAAAAAAAAAAAAAAAAAGAAAAGAAAAGAAAAUACUUGAAAAUAUCAAAGUAUUUUAAAUGAUACAAAUGACCUGUAGUCUCACUAGGCCAGAAGAAGCCACUGUAAAUAAUAUUGAAUCAUUCCUUCCAUUUUCCUAAAAUGUGUAUGUAACAUAAAUAAAAUUAACUUUAUGUUCUGGUACAACAUCAGAUAAAACCAGAUGAAAAGAGCUUUACAAAACUAGGGCUACAUGUUUGGAAUGAUCUAAUUUAAAAUACGGACUGUGUGGUUCACAUAAAAUUCACUUUUAGUGAGUUGCUCACAAAAAGCUAGAAAGCCUCUCAAAGACACAAUCAGCCAUUCUCUCGGGCGUCUUCCGAUGCUGACGUGCAGCGGAACAGUUGUGUCUGAGGUCAGGGCUUCGAUGUGCUCCAGGGUCAGCACAGCACAGAUUUAUUCAUUUACUUGCAUUUAACAUAGUCUCUGCUUUCAAGUUUAUUGAGAAAUUCAAGAAGAGGUCGCAGCGUGAUAAUCCUAGGACAGGGCCCAAUUUAACCAGAAGAAGUGACUGUCAGCUCUAAGGACAAACUGGGUGACAUGUGAGUUUAUUUACUCUUUGGAUCCUGCUAUACUACUUAACAUUAUCUGUGAGCAUUCUACCAAAUCAUGAAAAAAUGCUAUUUGGCUGCACAAUCUAUUGAUUUUUUAAAAUUUCAUAUACCCAAUUACUGCAGUUCACUAAAUUCAUUUCCAGGCUUUCCACUGUUAUUAAUAGCAUUUCAGGAUAGAGAUUCUCAUCUAUAUUUCUGAUUAUUAGCCUUAGUGUGGAUUCUUAGAAAUAAAAUCCCUAGGUCAAAAAGUACAGCUCUUUUGUAAGGAUCUUUCCUACACGCUGAGAUUGUUUUACAAAAAGGACGUGACAAUUUGUAUUUUGAAGACAACAGUCUGGGAGUAACUUGCUGGCCUCAAGAAUGGUCGUGGGUCUGCAUACCAUUCACUUUGAUGGGUUAAAGGAUGUUACGUCAUUUUUUUUUAAGUCUGUGAAGUGAUGUGCUUAGUGAGACUGAACAUUUCCCAAACUUUGGAGCCAUGUGUGUAGUUUCACCUACGUGGGUCCUGUCUCACAGUCUUAGUUUUGUUCUUGGAUGACAGUCAGGUCUGGAAGGACACCCAGAGAGCAGCUGCAGGUGCCUGAAGGAAGCUGUACCAAGGUGGGGCAGGCAGCUUGCGGGAAAACAGCAAGCCAUGGGGAGCAUCGGAGACCAGGGGCUGGGGGCCGGGAACCCACAUCCUGCAAAUAAGUAGCUUUCUGGAAGGGGACUCCUGUCAAGAGCCAGGGCUUCGGGAAGAAGAACAGAACCACAGCAAACUGUGUUCUCUGGAGGGAGGAUAGGCAUUAUCCUGGCUCCUCCCACUCCCCACCUUCCUGCACGUCUCCCAUUGGCUGAACCCAGCGGGGAGACAGAGCCUGCUCCAGCCGGUCGGCAAGGUCAUCCUCCCAGAGCCCAGAGCAGGCGGGUGGGACACGACCGGGUGGGACAAACAGAAUAUCCAGCAAGAUGUGUAAAGGAUCUCGGAUUAUGAGAGAUAUUAGCCCAUCUUGCGUCAUAUUUAAUAAAAAGAUCGCUGAGUUUGUGGCUUGCCUUUCAAUUUGGGGUGUGAUAUCUUGGCAUGAGGGCUUUUGGGGGUUUUGUUACAUUUUUUAGCAAUAAAAGGGAUCUAUCAUAUUGUUUAUAAUCUCAUUAUUUUCAUGGAAGUUCCUUUCUCAGCCACUGAAAAGAGAUUUUUGUGGUUGAGUUUUCUACAUUUAACUUUGUGAAUCAGCUAGAAUUUAUUUUAGAGCAUGCCAUGAAAUUAAGACAUUUUUUUUAAUACUGCAAACCUAUAGUACAAGCACCAGUUAUGGAAUUGGCCAAUUUUUUCUCACACUAAUUUGUACAAUCAUUACAUAUAUUCGUUCUUUUUUCUUUUAAAGGAUGAAUUUUAUUUUUAAAGAGUUUAAUUUAUGUGGAUCUUAGCUGUCCAAUGUAAUACCAGAUGUGCCAUUUUAAAGUGAAUCUCUUUGAUGUCACCAUGAAACACAGGCCUUUUUUUAAUAAAAGUAAAUAGAAUGAUUUAUUUCAUAUUGCAUCUUCAGAUUUGCAUACUAUUUUUCACAAUGUGGUUAUGUUGUUUGUUUUUCAAAAAUGAGAUUUUUGUUUUGAUAACUAAGGGUGAUACUUUCUUUUUUUAUUCUAAGUUCCUUCACCUUCUUUUGCUCCCUAUUUUACUUUUUCACUUUGAAUGUUUAAGAAAUUUUCAGGCAUGGAAAAACUUACUUUGGGAACAUAAAAAGUUUUCCCCUUGCAGAGGAACUAGGUUCAUCUUGAAAAGACAGAGUUCUCCAAAUUCCAGGUACAGGAAUCCUUUCUCUGUUGCGAAACAUAAUAAGAAUAUGCAUAAACAAUCUAUGACUUCCUUUUUUAUUGAAGGAUAGUUGAUAUACAAGCUUGUUUUAAUUUCUUC
rnacentral:lncRNA from 1 species